rnacentral:rRNA from 1 species
UACGUAGGGGGCAAGCGUUGUCCGGAAUCAUUGGGCGUAAAGAGCGUGUAGGCGGCCUUAUAGGUCGGCUGUGAAAGUCAAGGGCUCAACCCUUGAAUGCCGGCCGAUACUGUGAGGCUAGAGUCCGGAAGAGGCGAGUGGAAUUCCUGGUGUAGCGGUGAAAUGCGCAGAUAUCAGGAGGAACACCGAUGGCGAAGGCAGCUCGCUGGGACGGUACUGACGCUGAGACGCGAAAGCGUGGGGAGCGAACAGG